GGUGCUGUGACUCAAGUGGUAGAGCACUUGCCUUGCAUGCAUGAGGCCCUGGGUUCGAUUCCUCAGCACCA
rnacentral:tRNA from 1 species